GAUGAAGAACGCAGCGAAAUGCGAUAAGUAGUGUGAAUUGCAGAAUUCAGUGAAUCAUCGAAUCUUUGAACGCGCAUUGCGCCGCUCGGUAGUCCGUGGGGCAUGCCUGUUCGAGCGUCAUUUAACCCCUCAAGCCUAGCUUGGUAUUGGGUGCUUGUCCCGCCUCUCGCGCGGCGACUCACCUCAAAGUCAUUGGCAGCCCGCAUCUCGCCGGCCGUGAGCGCAGCACAGACGCGCUCUUGGCAACGACGGAUCGGCUCUCCAAAAGCUUAUUUCAACCACUGACCUCGGAUCAGGUAGGGAUACCCGCUGAACUUAAGCAUAUCAAUAAGCGGAGGA
rnacentral:misc_RNA from 1 species